rnacentral:rRNA from 1 species
GGAAUUUUCCGCAAUGGGCGAAAGCGAGGAGCACCAAUGGGUCGUGAAUCAAGAAGACCUUGGGGUAAAAAAUGUUUUUUUAUUCCGGACGAGGAUGACGGUACCGAUGGAGGAAGCACCGGCUAACUAUGUGCCAGCAGCCGCGGUAAUACGUAGGGUGCAAGCGUUGUUCGGAAUCACUGGGCGUAAAGGGCGUGUAGGCGGAUUGGAAAGUGAGGGGUGAAAUCCCUGGGCUCAACCCCGGAAGUGCUCUUGAAACUGUCGAUCUGAGAAGGUCAGGGGCCGGCGGAAUUCGCAGUGUAGAGGUGAAAUUCGUAGAGAUCAGGAGGAACAUCGGAGGCGAAGGCGGCCGUCUGGGAGAUUAUUGACGCUGAGGCGCGAAAGCGUGGGGAGCAAACAGGAUUAGAUACCCCUGUAGUC